rnacentral:rRNA from 1 species
AACGAACGCUGGCGGCAGGCUUAACACAUGCAAGUCGAGCGCAUCCUUCGGGGUGAGCGGCAGACGGGUGAGUAACGCGUGGGAACGUACCCUUUGCUACGGAAUAGCUCCGGGAAACUGGAAUUAAUACCGUAUGUGCCCUUCGGGGGAAAGAUUUAUCGGCAAAGGAUCGGCCCGCGUUGGAUUAGCUAGUUGGUGGGGUAAAGGCCUACCAAGGCGACGAUCCAUAGCUGGUCUGAGAGGAUGAUCAGCCACAUUGGGACUGAGACACGGCCCAAACUCCUACGGGAGGCAGCAGUGGGGAAUAUUGGACAAUGGGCGCAAGCCUGAUCCAGCCAUGCCGCGUGAGUGAUGAAGGCCUUAGGGUUGUAAAGCUCUUUCAACGGUGAAGAUAAUGACGGUAACCGUAGAAGAAGCCCCGGCUAACUUCGCGCCAGCAGCCGCAGUAA